AAAGAACAUAAGGACAAAAGACUAAACUUUGAAGGUUAUUGAGAGGUACUGGGAAGGUAACAAACCAGGCAGACACCUGUCCUCCAUGAUCUCAUAUGGACGUGGGAGCUGAUCACUGCAUAUGUGUAGACACAAAGGGAACAAGGACUGCCGCGCCUACCUGAGGGCAGAAGAUGGAGCAUGAGGAUUAAAAACUACCCAUGGGGUAUUGUGCUUAUUCCUUAUUAGAGACAAAGUAAUCUGUACGUCAAACCCCCACAACACGCAAUUUACCCGUGUAAAAAACCUGCACUUGUACCCCUUGAGCCGAAAAUAAAAGUUGUAAAGAAAAAAA
rnacentral:lncRNA from 10 species